rnacentral:misc_RNA from 1 species
GGGAGUAAAAGUCGUAACAAGGUUUCCGUAGGUGAACCUGCGGAAGGAUCAUUAGCGAAAUCCAAAUUGGUUGGGGUCCCGAUGCCGAAAGGGUCGGCCCAGCCAUUCAUCUCAUACACCUUUGUCGAGCUGUAGGAGAGCUGGCUUAGGCCUGUUCUUUCUCUUUUCAAACUCUUAAAGUUAAAGAAUGAAGCCUUGGUUUUAACCAAAAUAAAAUUUUCAACAACGGAUCUCUUGGCUCUC